rnacentral:rRNA from 1 species
UACGUAGGGGGGCGAGCGUUGUCCGGAGUUACUGGGCGUAAAGGGCAUGCAGGCGGUCAGGCGCGUUUUGUGUGACAGCGGAGGGCUUAACUCUCCGAGGAUACGAGAGACGGCGUGACUUGAGAGCGCGAGAGGGACACGGAAUUCCGGGUGGAGUGGUGAAAUGCGUAGAGAUCCGGAAGAACACCAGUGGCGAAGGCGGCCCGCUGGGCAGUGGCUGACGCUGAGGCGCGACAGCGUGGGGAGCAAACAGG